CCUACGGGUGACAGCAGUGGGGAAUAUUGGACAAUGGGGGGAACCCUGAUCCAGCGACGCCGCGUGAGUGAAGAAGUAUUUCGGUAUGUAAAGCUCUAUCAGCAGGGAAGAAAGAAAUGACGGUACCUGACUAAGAAGCCCCGGCUAACUACGUGCCAGCAGCCGCGGUAAUACGUAGGGGGCAAGCGUUAUCCGGAUUUACUGGGUGUAAAGGGGGCGUAGACGGCGAUGCAAGUCUGAAGUGAAAGGCGGGGGCCCAACCUCCGGACUGCUUUGGAAACUGUAUGGCUGGAGUGCAGGAGAGGUAAGUGGAAUUCCUAGUGUAGCGGUGAAAUGCGUAGAUAUUAGGAGGAACACCAGUGGCGAAGGCGGCUUACUGGACUGUAACUGACGUUGAGGCUCGAAAGCGUGGGGAGCAAACAGGAUUAGAUACCCGUGUAGUC
rnacentral:rRNA from 1 species